rnacentral:misc_RNA from 1 species
GAUGAAGAACGUAGUGAAAUGCGAUAAGUAAUGUGAAUUGCAGAAUUCAGUGAAUCAUCGAAUCUUUGAACGCAUCUUGCGCUCCUUGGUAUUCUGAGGAGCAUGCCUGUUUGAGUGUCAUUAAAUUCUCAACUACACUGACUUUGAAUUGGUGUGGCUUGGAUUUGGGGGGAAAAUUGUUGUGGGCUUUUUGUAUAGUCUGCUCCCCUGAAAUUGAUUAGCGGUACCUUUGUGGAACUGUCUACAGGUGUGAUAAUUAUCUACAUCUUAGACAUCUGCUGGAAUGCUGCUUUCUAAACCUUACUUGUAUUGACAAUCUUGACCUCAAAUCAGGUAGGACUACCCGCUGAACUUAAGCAUAUCAAUAAGAGGAGGA